CGCUCCUGCACUCCCCGCAACUGUAACCCUGGCAGCCCAGCCAUGCUGACCCAGGCCAGACUCUCCACACGCUGUGGAAGGAACUCUCUUCCCCCAGCGGUGCUGCCCUUUUACAGCCGCUACCCAUUUCACACAGUUCCAG